CUUGUGGAGAUCGGGAGAGGUCCCGGAUGAUUGGAAAAAGGCAAAUGUAGUGCCCAUCUUUGAAAAAGGAAGACGGACACUCCAAGAAACUACAGACUGGUCAGCUUUACCUCAGUCCCCGGAAAAAUCAUGGAGAGGAUCCCCAAGGAAUCCAUUUUGAAGCACUUAGAAGAGGGGAAAGUGAUCAGGACUAGUCAACAUGGAUCCACCAAAGGAAAGUUAUGCCUGACCAAUCUGAUCAGCUUCUAUGAUGAGAACAAUUCCAACUAUGCAGGCUGUUUUCAUAAGAAAUGAGUUGCUGACUUACAUCCAGUUCCAAGUAGAUAUAUCAGAAGAAACACCAUCGGAAAUCUUGUUGGCUGUCUCAGCAGAGACUAAGGACUGAAUGGGCUGGUAGAAUGACUGAACCCCUCAUGUGCUAAAGGUAGUUAUUUCAUCUCAAUACUGAUGCCCCUUGCAUGUGGUAUAUUGCAGUUCUAUAACUAAAUGGAGGAUAUUAAUUGGCAGUACUGUAAUCCAAAAACUUGCAAAAGCACUAAUUUAAAAGAUGGUAGGGUUUUUAGGGUUGGAACUUUGGGAUCACACUAGAUACUAAGUGAAAUUCUUUGCCUCGUGUUAUAUAGGAGUCCAGAUUGAAUGAUCAUAGUGCUCUCUUAUGACCUUAAAACCUGUGACAUAAGAAGAUGAAAAUCUGGUUCCUUCUUUACUUAUCUGCCUGUAAAGCACCAUGCACAUUUGUACUACCAUAUAAGUAAUAACAAGUAUGGAUUAUACAUAAAAUAUAUAUUCCUAUGGAACUGUAUGUGGAAUACAUCUCACCCUGUCUUCUGUUAGCUCCACCAGUACUUGAAGAAAAUAUUGUCUAUCAGGUUGGGAAGGAUAAGCAGUGAUUUGUCUUCUUUUUCUCCCCAUUGUGACCAAGUGGACUGGGUUUGCUGUAAUGGUAUGAGCUUUGUGGUCUUUGUUUCAAACAGAAGAUUUUGUGCACUCUUGUGUUGGCUGCCGUACCAUCUGCCUCAAAAAAUAAGUGAAUACAAAUUAAAGAAAGAAUGCAGCUCCAACGCCUACACCCAGAAAGCUUUCAAAACAGCACGCUGCUACACCUGUGGGGAUAGAACAAGUGUAUCAGUGUCCCCGGCUCUGCCUCGGCUUGCCUGCCUUUGUUAGCUGGAAUGUGCCGAUGAGACAAUCAGGUGCAGUAGGCGCGUGGCAGCCUGCUUAAAGAGUGAUUCUUUGUAGACAGGGAGGUGGCUGUGAGUCAUGCAUCCACAUAAUCUGAUGAUAACAAUUUUAAAUGUGGUGAUUUAUGUAUAAUGGAAAGUAUUGUGCUAUUUGGUGUGAUUUGUCUGCCAUCAGACUACCCACUUGUUAAAAGGUCCUGUCUUCUAUACAAAUUAUGAAUUAUUCUUGCAUCAGAUACAUAAAGUAUAUUUUGGAGCGUGUGUGUGUGUGUGUGUGUGUGUGUGUCUAUGUGCGUGAGUGAGAGAUUAUUAUUUACACUGUGGUCACGGAUCACAGCCCCAUUGUGCUAGGCACUGUACAAAUAUGGAGCUAAAGACAAUCUCCGGCUCAAAGAGCUUAUACUCCAAAUGAGGACAUUAUCUACAAGUGCUAAGCCUGUGCAAAGUUGACUGCUGCCUUGUAUUAACAGGAACAUCAAGCAGAAUUUAUCUCUAACUCCUGGCUGGCAUAUCAUUAAGAACAAUCAAAACACACAGCCAGGCAUUCUUCACCAUGAUAAAUAUACCCAUCAGUCUACAACUUCAAGGGCUGCCUGCUGCUGCAGAUAUCGCCAGCAGAACAUACCUCCAAAUGAACAAGGGACACCUUGCCAUUCCAUCAGUUUCAAUAGAAUGUCAAUGGAACAGGAGAGAACAUGGAUGUGAAGGGAAGGGUCAGCAGUAAAAGCAUUACAAUGAGGGUGUGUUUAAUUGUCUUAGCUGGGAGCCAAUAAGAAGAAAGAAACCAAGUUUUAUAAUUGCUACAAGUUGUGCUCAUUAUCAGAAGUAUAUUUUCUUGGAAAUACAGAUGCACUCUGUUGUAGUGAGACUCACUUGGGGAAUGUCUUGUAGCUUCAGCUUUUCACUUCAGGGCUUACUUUAGCGGAUGUUGAUAAUAUGAGAGGGCUCACAGCAAAGAGCUGUAGCUGGCAACAGAAAACAAAAGAAACAAACAUGAACACUGAAGAAAAGCUGCAACAAAGGUUGAUGCUACAAUGGGGCACCUCGCUGACAGAAUAAAUCAUGAUCAAGGCCCCAUUGUGCAAGGUGCUGUUGAAACAUAUAUGAAGUCUCAGUCCCUGCCGAAAGAGCUUAUACAGAUUGAACCUGCUAGUCCGGCACCCUCAGGAUCUGACCGGUUCUGAACCAGAGAAU